rnacentral:misc_RNA from 1 species
GGAAGGAUCAUUACCACGUUCCAAACGUAUCAACCAAAGCGAAUAGUUUUCGACUUCUCCCAUCCACAGGGAAUGAGCUGAAUCGCAUGAGUGCGUGUGCGGGAUCUGAAAAUUGAUCAGCGAAUGCGUAAAUACUUAUAGUUCCGAAAGGGCUAUAGACAGCUGUAUUCCUGGGAUGGCUUUUCUCUUACCUCCGGUUUCCGACACCGAUUGGGAGGUAGGGGAGCCCAACAAACCAUAUUCACCUUUUUGCUAGUUGACUUGAAUAUGUUACUUUCUCGCUUCGGCGUGAGGUACACGUUUUUAAUUAAACGCAAAUACAACUCUUAGCAAUGGAUAUCUAGGUUCUCGCAACGAUGAAGAACGCAGCGAAAUGCGAUACGUAAUGCGAAUUGCAGAAUUCAGUGAAUCAUCAAAUCUUUGAACGCAAAUUGCGCUCUUGGGUAGCCCUAGGAGCACGCCUCUCUCAGUAUCGGUUCAACCCUCUCUCAGCCGCGUGCAUGAGUUUUCUCAUACGCGUGUUGGCUGGAUAAUGAGAGUCUACGAGCUCCGCCUCGCAGUCUCUUUAAAUACAUGGAGUGAGAUGAUGACUAUCGAUCAGCUCUGCUUCGGCAGAUAGGCAGCUCAGCUGUUGCUCGCUAGUGACGUGAAUAUUGGCCUUCGGGUCUUCCUUUACGUUUAUCUUUCGGGUGACUUUCAGUUUGUGCUGCUGAACGAUGGACUAGUAAACUUCUCACGUGAGAGCACCAUAUGGUUUAUUUAUACAUUAUAUAAAUAGUCCUGACAUUUGAUCUGAGAUGAAGCGAGACAACCCCCUGAAUUUAAGCAUAUUAAUAAGGGGAGGAAAAGAAACUAACAAGGAUUCCCCUAGUAACGGCGAGUGAAGCGGGAAGAGCUCAAUUUGAAAAUCGACUACCUAAACGGGUCGUCGAGUUGUAGCCUAGAGACGUACUAUCAGCUGAAACCUGGGUAUAAGUUCUUUGGAAUGAGGCAUCAUAGAGGGUGAGAAUCCCGUAUAUGACCCAAAGCCUUUCAGCGUACGAUGUAUGUUCAUCGAGUCGAGUUGUUUGGGAUUGCAGCUCUAAAUGGGACGUAAGUUUGUUCUAAAGCUAAAUAUUGGCGAGAGACCGAUAGCGAACAAGUACCGUGAGGGAAAGAUGAAAAGAACUUUGAAAAGAGAGUUAAAAGUACUUGAAAUUGCUAAGAGGGAAGCGCUAGAAACCAGUGAUAUGCCGUGUCAAUCGCUUUCGGCCCCACUAGUCUGCGUCUGCAAUUGGAAACUUUGCUUGCGUAGUCGAAAAGGUGGUCGGGAGUUUAUGAUACGGUGUAAGUCAAGAUCAAUUCGGAUUGUGGGAGAAGGUGGUGAGAAAGGUAGGAGAGCAAUCUCUGUUAUAUUCUCGCUACUCUACCUCGGCCUGGAUUGAGGAAGUAAUGGUGCGCCGCUUGCGGCUUGGUCCGGCGUCUCUAGGGUCCCAUGGGCUCUGAUAGCAAUGCUAUCUCUGUCCGGAAAGGCUCUACUGGGCGUCGUGAUUCUAUGUGCCAUCACGAUCUUGUACGAAAUGGUUUCUAUCGACCCGUCUUGAAACACGGACCAAGGAGUCUAACAUCUAUGCGAGUAUUUGGGUGCAAAACCCUGAUGCGUAAUGAAAGUAAAGGCAGCUUCGGCUGUUGAGGUAGGAAUCCCGCAAGGGAGGCACUAUCGACCGAUCAUCACUUGUGAAAGAUUUGAGUAAGAGCAUAUCUGUUGGGACCCGAAAGAUGGUGAUCUAUGCCUGAACAGGGUGAAGCCAGGGGAAACUCUGGUGGAGGCUCGUAGCGAUACUGACGUGCAAAUCGUUCGUCUGAUUUGGGUAUAGGGGCGAAAGACUAAUCGAACCAUCUAGUAGCUGGUUCCCUC